GAAAAAGAAAUCAAGAACUGCUAAUUCAUGUACCCGUGCUUAAAAUCACGGCUUUUUCA
rnacentral:tRNA from 1 species